GCCUUCAACGACUGCUUCCCUGGGCCACACCUCUGGGAAAGUCAUCGUGACUGAAGGGGGCCAAUGACACAUGAUUGCUCAACAGCAGCCCCCGGUAUACAUUGACGGGAAAUGGGCUCCCAGUUCAGCCAAAGGGCUGCUGUCUUUGAUGACGCAACAACCGCUCUAUCUGUGACAUGGGCAUUCUAGAUGGUUCAGAAAAGGAACCUUUCCACCUUCACACUCUCUCUACCCUGAGGCAGCCUCUGGUCAACUCUGGGUGACCUGGGCAGGUCCGAUCAGGCCCGGGGCAGCCCCCUUAGUGGGCCUGCUGUCUCCCAGGAGCAGACCCGAGAAGCGGAUUCAGGUGUGGGUGAUCUAUCAAGGAAGUGCUCCAGAAGAAACCAGGGGAGGGAGUCGCGGAAGCAGGACAGGGACAGAGAGAAGCUGAGCAACAGGUGAAGUCCCAGCCUCCGCCUGAUCCUGCAGGGAGCUCUGGAGCAUAAAUUACACCCAAGGGUUUAUCACCCCCGGGGACAAGAAACGGGGCUCCCAUAUUCCUCCUCCAGGCAGGCAGGAGCUUCGGUCUGCCCCAGGGGGACAGAAACUCUCAGCAUUUCCAGAUCUCUAGGAGUCUGGGUGAAGUGGCUCAAGUGACCUAAGAGUAGUCUUCAGAGGUCCAAACUCUCAGGAGUGAAGCUCACUUGGGCUGAGGGACAGGCACCCAGAGCUGGCAACGGCACCUGGAGGGAGCCCAACAGGAUCCUCUGCACCUGGCGAUGUCAGUGAAGACAGCUUCCUAGAGCCGAGGAAAGCAACUGAAGGGCCUCUUUGCUCCCAGAGCUCUUAAACUCUUGCCCUAAGGGGUAGGCCCAAAUUUGUGCAAACUGUCUCUUCCAUUUCCUGGGUCCCCACAGGCUGAAUCCAAGGAAGGUCUCUGGUCCCCAAGGAAGGGGCCACUCCUCUGCUCUAAGCAUCAGGCCAACCAGCCUGCAGCUUUCGAGCUUAGCAAGAGGUGGCAGCUUCCUCUUCUGUAAGCUUCAAAUUUGGAAUGGCAAUGACCCCCCACAUUGAUCCCUGUCACAUGAUUCUGCCCCACAGAGGCAGCAGUUGAAAACCAUCCAGUCUCUUCCCAGGAUGGGUCCCGCUGUCCUGGCCUUUGACUCCUAGGCAGGAACCACUUCAGGGCCAAGUGUGUGGUUUUCCUAUGGUUCCGGUAUGUCCUGAAAACCUCGAUGACCCCCCUACCGCUCUGGGAG
rnacentral:lncRNA from 1 species